UACGUAGGGUGCGAGCGUUGUCCGGAAUUAUUGGGCGUAAAGAGCUCGUAGGCGGUCUGUCGCGUCGGUCGUGAAAACUUGGGGCUUAACCCUGAGCUUGCGGUCGAUACGGGCAUGACUGGAGUUCGGCAGGGGAGACUGGAAUUCCUGGUGUAGCGGUGAAAUGCGCAGAUAUCAGGAGGAACACCUAUGGCGAAGGCAGCUCUCUGGUACGUGACUGACGCUGAGACGCGAAAGCGUGGGGAGCGAACAGG
rnacentral:rRNA from 1 species